UGUACGAGUGUUUUCCACUUAUCCUAUACACCCCAAGAAGAAAACACCAUCAACAACCAAACCCACAUCACAUGCCUCACUUUUUAAGCCCACAAACAGAAAACACAAAAGGCAAUAUAGCAGCAAAAGUUAUGUAGAUAAGGCAAUAUAGCAGCAAAAGUUAUGUAGAUAAGGCAAUGGUGGGCACUUGGUAUUGUGAAACAUGUUGAAGGGUUAGAUUUAGAAGAAGCGUGUAAGGUUAGAAUAUAAGAGAUUCCUUGAGACAGUUGUAUAUAACAAAUAAAGUUACGCAGACCAACAAAGCUAUAAAGACUGUCUAAUCAUUAGCCUCUGUUACAAGCAACCAAUUUGACAGACAGAUCAAACUAAGUACGCUUGUGGGCCUUAGCCAUAAAAAGGGCUUUCAAAUGAGGAAACAAGCAAACAAUUACAUGAAAGUAAAACAUCCUGUGAAAUUCAAAUUUGAAAAACUUUACCACCACUAGUUCUACAGGGAUUCAAUUAGGUAACAAAUAAAACAAUAAACCCAAUUGCACUUGAUUUAUCAUUGCCAAAUAGACUCCUUA
rnacentral:lncRNA from 1 species